rnacentral:lncRNA from 10 species
UUUCCCUCAUGGCACAGUCCAUGAGCUCAGGGUCAAGUUCAUACAUGUUUUUACUUCUUCUACUCUGCAAAUGGUCUUCUUGAACUCUGAGGGUCCUAAAGCUGCUCUGCAGUUUGUGGGGGAUACAGAGGAUCCAACAAGGAUGAAGUACGCAAGGAUUGUCAACCUGUGGGGGAUGACUGGCCGCACAGCCCCAUGAAGACCACCUGGGCAGCUCCUCUCUCAGGCCUUCUGACUUGAAGAAUGGCCAGCUCCUGUGGGGUCAAUACAAGAAUAACUUAUGUGCACAGAAAGAAUAUUUACAAUUACUUGAGCUUAAAUUUAUGUAAUUAAAUUUAU